AUUCCAGCUCCAAUAGCGUAUAUUAAAGUUGUUGUGGUUAAAAAGCUCGUAGUUGGAUCUCGGCGGUCUGAGGGCGGUUCGCUUCAGAGCGCUACUGCCCUAUAGACCGUAGUUUUGCCAGAGGUCUCAGGGUGCUCUUAACCGAGUGUCUUGCGAUGCUGGCAGGUUUACUUUGAAAAAAUUAGAGUGCUCAAAGCAGGCUUUUACGCCUGAAUAUUCGUGCAUGGAAUAAUAGAAUAGGAAGUCGUUUCUAUUUUGUUGGUUUGCACAAUUAAAGAAUGAUUAACAGGGACAGUUGGGGGUAUUCAUAUUUACAUGUCAGAGGUGGAAUUCUUGGAUUUUGGAAAGAUGAACGACUGCGAAGGCAUUUACCAAGGAUGUUUUCAUCG
rnacentral:rRNA from 1 species